UUACGGCCAUAUAGCGUUGAAACACCAGCUCCUGUACAAUCACCGAAAUUAAGCUACGUCGAGCCUACUCAGUGUCUAGAUGGGUGACCCCUUGGGAAUACCAGGUUGUU